rnacentral:lncRNA from 1 species
GGGGGGGGGGGCUAGGAUGAAAUUUGAAAAAAAUAGGCAGGACAGGAGUUUUGAGUAAAAAAAAAGGCAGGAUGAGACACUUACAAAAAAAAAAGUCAGGACGACAAUUUAGGUAAAAAAAAGUCAGGAUAAACUAAAAAAAAAAAAAGGCAGGACCGAACAGAGUGAAAAAUAAAAAGGCAGGACAGAGAUUACAGCUAAAAAAAAAUGCAGGACAAAAUUUUUCAUCCUAGCCCCCAUAAAAA